GACAGAGGGUGCAAACGUUGUUCGGAAUUACUGGGCGUAAAGCGCGUGUAGGCUGCUCAGAAAGUCGGAUGUGAAAGCCCUGGGCUUAACCUAGGAAGUGCAUUCGAAACUUCUGAGCUUGAGUUCUGGAGAGGAAGGCGGAAUUCUCGGUGUAGAGGUGAAAUUCGUAGAUAUCGGGAAGAACACCCGUGGCGAAGGCGGUUCUCUGGGACGGUACUGACGCUGAGACGCGAAAGCGUGGGGAGCGAACAGG
rnacentral:rRNA from 1 species